AGUGAACGCUGGCGGUAGGCCUAGCACAUGCAAGUCGAACGGCAGCACAGUAAGAACUUGCUCUUACGGGUGGCGAGUGGCGGACGGGUGAGGAAUACAUCGGAAUCUACUUUUUCGUGGGGGAUAACGUAGGGAAACUUACGCUAAUACCGCAUACGACCUACGGGUGAAAGCAGGGGAUCUUCGGACCUUGCGCGAUUGAAUGAACCGAUGUCGGAUUAGCUAGUUGGCGGGGUAAAGGCCCACCAAGGCGACGAUCCGUAGCUGGUCUGAGAGGAUGAUCAGCCACACUGGAACUGAGACACGGUCCAGACUCCUACGGGAGGCAGCAGUGGGGAAUAUUGGACAAUGGGCGCAAGCCUGAUCCAGCCAUACCGCGUGGGUGAAGAAGGCCUUCGGGUUGUAAAGCCCUUUUGUUGGGAAAGAAAAGCAGCAGGUUAAUACCCCGCUGUUCUGACGGUACCCAAAGAAUAAGCACCGGCUAACUUCGUG
rnacentral:rRNA from 1 species